GUGCUCACUUCGGCAGCACAUGUACUAAAAUUGGAACGAUACAGAGAAGAUUAGCAUGGCCCCUGUGCAAGGAUGAUAUUGCAAAUUUGUGAAGCAUUCCUUAUUUUU
ensembl:snRNA U6 U6 spliceosomal RNA